rnacentral:rRNA from 1 species
AUACAGAGGUCCCAAGCGUUGUUCGGAUUCACUGGGCGUAAAGGGUGCGUAGGCGGUCGGGUAAGUCUGACGUGAAAUCUUCAAGCUCAACUUGGAAACUGCGUCGGAUACUAUUCGGCUGGAGGAAUGGAGGGGAGACUGGAAUACUUGGUGUAGCAGUGAAAUGCGUAGAUAUCAAGUGGAACACCAGUGGCGAAGGCGAGUCUCUGGACAUUUCCUGACGCUGAGGCACGAAAGCCAGGGGAGCAAACG